UACGAAGGGGGCUAGCGUUGCUCGGAAUCACUGGGCGUAAAGGGUGCGUAGGCGGGUUUUUAAGUCAGGGGUGAAAUCCUGGAGCUCAACUCCAGAACUGCCUUUGAUACUGAAGAUCUUGAGUUCGGGAGAGGUGAGUGGAACUGCGAGUGUAGAGGUGAAAUUCGUAGAUAUUCGCAAGAACACCAGUGGCGAAGGCGGCUCACUGGCCCGAUACUGACGCUGGGGCACGAAAGCGUGGGGAGCAAACAGG
rnacentral:rRNA from 1 species